rnacentral:rRNA from 1 species
UACGGAGGGGCUAGCGUUGUUCGGAAUUACUGGGCGUAAAGCGCGCGUAGGCGGCUUUGUAAGUUAGAGGUGAAAGCCCGGAGCUCAACUCCGGAAUUGCCUUUAAGACUGCAUCGCUAGAAUCAUGGAGAGGUGAGUGGAAUUCCGAGUGUAGAGGUGAAAUUCGUAGAUAUUCGGAAGAACACCAGUGGCGAAGGCGGCUCACUGGCCCGGUACUGACGCUGAGGUGCGAAAGCGUGGGGAGCAAACAGG